CUAGCGAGACUGCCAGUGAUAAACUGGAGGAAGGUGGGGGUGACGUCAAAUCAUCAUGCCCCUUAUGACCUGGGCUACAAACGUGAUACAAUGGCUGAAACAAAGGGCAGCGAAGCAGUGAUGUGGAGCGAAACCCAAAAAAGCAGUCUCAGUUCGGAUUGAAGUCUGCAACUCGACUUCAUGAAGUUGGAAUCGCUAGUAAUCGUAGAUCAGAACGCUACGGUGAAUACGUUCUCGGGGUUU
rnacentral:rRNA from 1 species